ensembl:lncRNA
CCCUCUUCCCCAAUUUAAAUAGCUUUGGAUACGUUUCACAAGCAACAUCUGUUUUGACCACAGCUGUUUCAGAUGUAACGGUACAUCGGAUAAUUGUUAUUGUUGUAAAUAUGUGCAGGCCGGAGUGUGGUUGUCAGUCAGUGGUGUACAGACCGAUUUCUCGGUAAUUAACGCGGUGCUGAAAUUGGAGAGAUGUGGAGGUGGUGAAUUUGCUCCGCACCCGCCAAUCUGCCAGUCAGAGGGAUGCUGAAAAAUUUCGGUUUGAGUGAAUGAGCAACAUUUGAAGCUUGCUGAAUCUUGCCUGAAGAGGAGCAGAAUAUGCAUGAAUAUAAGUCACAAUAUGUAAUCAAUUGGAAAUAAAUGCAUCCAGAACAGAAGGAAUUGUG